UACGAAGGGGACUAGCGUUGUUCGGAAUCACUGGGCGUAAAGCGCGCGCAGGCAGUCCUUUAAGUCUGAUGUGAAAGCCCACGGCUCAACCGUGGAGGGUCAUUGGAAACUGGGGGACUUGAGUGCAGAAGAGGAGAGUGGAAUUUCACGUGUAGCGGUGAAAUGCGUAGAGAUGUGGAGGAACACCAGUGGCGAAGGCGACUCUCUGGUCUGUAACUGACGCUGAGGCGCGAAAGCGUGGGGAGCGAACAGG
rnacentral:rRNA from 1 species